GGGAAGGGACAUGGGGGCUCAGGGACAGGGCAGCCAGCGGGGGGCAGCUGGCGUGGGGCCAGCUGAGGGACAGGGCAGCCAGCGGUGGGCAGGAGAUGAGGCCGGCCGCACAGGAUGAGGGGCUGGUCUUGACCUUUCCAGCCUGGCUCGCUGAAUCCCAGCCCUUGAUUACGAAACAUGUUCUGGAAAUUAUUUCCAGCGGGCACACGUCCCUUUGGUGACAGCUUAUUUCUGGAUUCCUGGUGCAAAUGCCUGGGCUGUGAUGACAUUCAGGGGUGUGUUUUACGGCCCCUCAUCUGAUUAGUCACUGAAUUGCAAGGACUCUCCCUGCUGGCUUGGGCACAGAGCACGUGAGUCCGCGAACAAAAUAACUUGUUUAUUUCCUCCAGGCUGCUUCUAACAGACUGUGAAGUCAGGGGCGUCCCCUGCCUCAGUGUCCCCCUUAAGGAUGUCCCAGCUGUAUGGAAAUGAAGUGCUGGGGUCCUUCCCAGGGCAGUGGCCUCUACUGCAGAGGUUUUUGAGGCUCCUUAGAGGGGUAUUUCCAACUUUUUGUCUGAAGAAAUUAUUUCGGGUAUCUCUGAAAAUUUUUGGAGUACAGAAUGAGUCCGUAACAGAUUCUAGCAGACCAACCUCAGUUUUCCUUUGAAAAGGAGUGCUUCCAUUCCUUUUCAGUUCUCAGGUGGGGUCAGCCACCGUGAGGGCAGUGUGCAGGGCAGCUCAGGAGGCCAGAGGUUGCCCUGAGAGGCAGGGUCAUAUGACUUGAGGUCAUAUCUCCCUCCACCUCACUGUGCUUGUCUUUAAAAUGGGUAUAAUGGAGUUUCCACUGUGGCUCAGCUAGUAUCCAUGAGGUUGUGGAUUUGAUCCCUGGCAUCAAUCAGUGGAUUAAGGAUCAGUGUGGUAUAGGCUGAAGAGGUGGCUCAGAUCCCAAGUUGCUGUGGCUGUGGCUGUGGCUUAGCCUGGGAACUUCCAUAAGCCACAGAUAUACCCCUAAAAAGAUAAAAUAAUAAAAUAAAAUAAAACAAAAUAAAAUAAAAUAAAAUACAAUGAGUAUGAUACUGGAACCCCCUGCCUGAGCAUCUGUGUGCAGAUUUUUUGGCGUCGACCACAGAAUGGUGUGCUUUCAGUUCAUCGGCGCUACCACGGCUCUUGUUAUUUGUGAUCAUUUUCUGCAAGGAGUGGAGGAUUCCCUACUCUGAACAAGCCUCCUGGAGCUCCCGUCAUAGCUCAGUGGAAAUGAAUCUGACUAGGAUCCAUGAGGACGCAGGGAUCAAACCCACAUCCUCAUGGAUACUAGUCAGGUUCUUAAACUGCUGAGCCACAGCAGGAAUUCCAGUCUUGUUCUGAUUUGAUCCUGCAAGAAUUCAGUGUUUGUCCCAGAAGACGGCAGUGAAAGGGGCUGAUCCCGUGACGAUUCCAGAACGUGCUUGGGUGCUGAAUUCCUCUGUGUUCUGUGAAUGUACUUGAGGACCGAGAAUUCCUGUGCUUGGUUUGUCCCCCAUUUGCUCCCAAAGCAGCGGCCCUGCCUGUAGCCCCAGGCAGGGGGACAUCUCUGUCUCCUUAUCAGACAAAGUCACCAACCCAUAUCCACGCCUUACACCGUCCUUUUCCUUUUAAAGAACUAAAGCAUUUUGUUUGAUCCAUGGUCAUAGCCACACGCCACGUGAGACCCCCUCCCAUGCCCCACGGUUUAGCCCCUGCAGAUGUUGUCAGCUGGCAGCCUCGCUGAGGCCUGGAUGUCCAGGCAAGAACUGGGGAGGCCUUUACAGAACAGGCCCCUUGACUCAAUGCCUGGGGUUUCAACCCAGCUCUCUUCACAGGCACCUGACCCUGGGCAAGUUCCCAAACCUCAGAGCUCAUUUCUUUGCCUUUGAUUCGUGGGAGAUGCUAUUUCAUUCAGGGGUCAAGGUGAGAAUUAGCACACAGGAAGCCCGCCAAGUGCCCGGCCCCUGGCUGAGGGCUCCGGGGACAAGAGUUCCCUGUACAGCUGUCCAGGGCUGGGGGUCAGGCUCCUCAAGGGGACAUGCUCUGGACCUAAGGGAUGAGACAGGCAGAGUGGGAUGGGCAGGGGCUGGUCUGAGGAACAGCCGGCCAGAGUCCAGAAGAGCAGUCGGCUGAGAUUUUCUAUCUUGGGACUCUUUUCUAAAAAAAAAAAAAAA
rnacentral:lncRNA from 1 species